AAGUAUUGAAGUAAUAAUUACAUUUAGUUUCGACCUAAAAAUAGAGAAAAUCUCCUUACUUA
rnacentral:tRNA from 4 species